AGUGAACGCUGGCGGUAGGCCUAACACAUGCCAGUCGAACGGCAGCACAGUAAGAGCUUGCUCUUACGGGUGGCGAGUGGCGGACGGGUGAGGAAUACAUCGGAAUCUACUUUUUCGUGGGGGAUAACGUAGGGAAACUUACGCUAAUACCGCAUACGACCUACGGGUGAAAGCAGGGGAUCUUCGGACCUUGCGCGAUUGAAUGAGCCGAUGUCGGAUUAGCUAGUUGGCGGGGUAAAGGCCCACCAAGGCGACGAUCCGUAGCUGGUCUGAGAGGAUGGUCAGCCACACUGGAACUGAGACACGGUCCAGACUCCUACGGGAGGCAGAAGUGGGGAAUAUUGGACAAUGGGCGCAAGCCUGAUCCAGCCAUACCGCGUGGGUGAAGAAGGCCUUCGGGUUGUAAAGCCCUUUUGUUGGGAAAGAAAAGCAGCAGGUUAAUACCCCGCUGUUCUGACGGUACCCAAAGAAUAAGCACCGGCUAACUUCGUG
rnacentral:rRNA from 1 species